rnacentral:tRNA from 1 species
UGGCUGAGUGGUAAAGCACUUGGCUUCUGAACUAAGAGGUCCUGGGUUCAAAUCCUGG